rnacentral:piRNA from 1 species
UGCUGACCUGUGACUUCCAGUCUG